CCGCCUCGGUCGACUGCCGCAGGAGUCGGAGAGUGAGGCUUUUACGGCUGCCGCGUGCCGGAAAGGUAGCUGGGACGAAUCUUUCUGUGCGGUUUCGAGAAGGAAGGGGCCGCCGGCUACGCGACUGGGUCGAGUGACUGAUACCGGCUCGGCUGCCUGGGCCGCCACCGCUUAGACCAGCGUGGGGCGGGGCUCGAUUGGCAGUUUAGAGAAAGAGGUACAUUAAAUGUAAAAGUGAAUACUUUACAUGAUACGUGCAAAUGGCCAGUUCUUUAAGAGGAGAAGUACUGAAUCUUUAUAAAAAUGUUCGUGCUCAAGACCAAAACUUAGGGCAUGAAGCGAGUAGCUGCUGACAAAAUACAACAAGGAUAUGCAUAUUCAUUUUGUUCAAAUAAUAAAUAAGUAAUAGCAGAUGAGUAACAAAACACUGCAGAAAAUAGGGCUUCACAUUUUCACAAAAACUGGAGGUAAAUUAAAAUUUAUGAAAAUUCAUUUUCUCAGUUACUUGGAAUAAUUCUUUAAAGUCUUCUAAAAGCAUGCAAAUGUCAAAUUAAUUUCAACAGAGAAAGAUGAAUAAACUUUUGAAAGGCAAAUCAACAAGUCCAUGUAAUAAAGAGAAAUCAAGUAUCUAGGAAACUAAAUAUCUAAGUUAUAGUUUAGCAACAUAAAUUACAUAACGAUAUCAAUAAAACAGGACAUAAAUAUAAGAAAAGCUGAAUGCUAGAAGGUUAAGAAAUAAAGUACAAGUAUUCCUUUAUAUUAUAUCACUGUAUAUUUUUUCUGGAUGAUCCAUAAAAAUGUCUACAAAGCAAAUUUAGGUUAAUCCAUUUGGUAUCACACACACUACAUCCCCUUCCCUAUCCAACACCCCCCAACCGCCCCCCCCAAACCAGUAUAAAACCUAAAAAUCUAUUUAAAAGGAAACUAGGUAGUCUUCUAGAUUAGUUAUGAAUGCUGUGGUAUAUUAAAGCAUUAAUGUCAAACACUUAAGAAUCAACAGUACUUCUGAGAUAGUAACCAUACAACAAGGAAAGAAGACAGAGCUAUUAUUUUAGGCUCUUAUCAAAUGAGAGUGGAGGGCAACACUGCAGAAAUAACAAGACUUCCUCUUACUGUCCUUUAUUACCUUUCUACUCCAAAUGUGGUCCAUGUACCAAAGUCAGCAUCACCCGAGAGCUUGUAAAAAUGCAGAAUCACAGGUUCCAACCUAGACCCUAAUUCUAAUUCAGAAUUAGAAUCUGGAUUUGAGUAAGAAGCCCAGUUGAUUCUUGUGCAUAUUAAAGUAUGAGAAGCACUGCUUUAUUUGCAACCCUUUACAACAUCAGGCAAAGUCUUAGAGUUUUUCUUUUCUUUGUACAGUGUAAACUAAUGUGUCCACUAGUCUAAAAUGUAUACUUUAAAAGUUACAACUAAUACAAGUUAAUAAACUGUUAAUAGUAUAAUCUAGGUAGUAGGUUUGCAAAUGUUUUCAAUAAAAUUCCUUCAAUUUUAUAUCUGAAAAUGUUUCAUACAAAAAUGGGAAAAAAAGUUAUAAUAUUAUAAUCAUGUUUUCUGAGUACCUCCCAAGGGAAAUCAAGGAGUACGGUCAGAGAAGACCAACAAAGAAGACAAAAACCAAACCUCUUCCCAGUCUUUGGGACCUGGGAAUGAUAUGAAUGGAAUCUUAAUUCCUCCAAAGUGAAGUGAAGUAAUGUAUACACCAAGUAUUUCUUUAACUUAUAAAUCAGGUUUUAGAAUGAGAUCAUCUGUGUUAUGGUCAAAAAAUAUUCUAAUUCAGCUUUUAAUCCCAAAGCAAAGACUUAAAACAGAAUUCAUUGUUUUUUUUCACUGUGCACCAAAUUUGUACAACCAGAAAGUGGUAAUGUAUGAUCUUCCACUAGGGAAAUAGACAUAUAUACUAGCUGAAUGAUGGUUUACUUUUAAAUUUUUACCCCUUUACAAAAUUCAGUGAAAGGUCUAGAAGGUGUUUUUAUAAGUUUAACCAUGUAAUAAGUUGUUCAUCACUCUUCUUAACUUCUAGCAUUAUAAAGUUAAAUUCCAUGAAAUUGGUUUUCUGGGCUCAUAGGUACAAAUAACCAGACAAGGCCCCAAACAAAUGUUCAUCUUGUACGGAACAUAUUAAUAUUCCAUCAUAACCUUAUAUUUUCCUUUUUAGGAAUUCAUUUUUUCUAUAUGUUAAACUCUUAUUUCAUACAAAUAAGGCUAAACAAUAUCAAUUAUUUUAUUUUACCUAGAGAAAAAGUUACUUUUAAAAUAGUUUCUGAAACAAAAUUCAGGAUCAAUCUGGUGUUAUUUUUUUCUCAGAACACAGUAAAUGAAUAACUGAGAAUUUCUAUUUACUUUCUAAAUAUUCUCUUGCUUUAAUAAAAGCUUUCCUGAAAAAUAUAUCCUUUUAAAAAAAAUUCUACCUAAGUAAAAUUCUUCAAAUACAACAAAAUUUAAUCUAGAAACAUAUGACAUAAUACUCUUAAAAGCACUUCAAAAAUAGGAAACUCAAAAUUUGUUUCCCUGUUCUUUGACUUUAUAAAUAAAACAGUAAAAAAUAAAAUUCCCACGUUUCUCGAAUCCUGACUAUAACAUGUGCUGAACUGUUCAACGUAGAAAAAAGCCAAAGCCAAAGAUAAUACCAUGGACACUGGAAUAAGAAGUGCUGCCCUCUCAUAUCCUUAAGAGAACAUUUACCAAGUAAAUAUUGUUAUAUUUCCUAUUUUACUAUAAUGGAAGAAAAUUGAUAAAUUACAUCAACUGAUAUAAAAGUUAUGCUAUCAGGUAUGUACAUUUAUUAAUAUUCAUGCCCUCCUGCUCCCAAAAUGACAUUAUUAGAAUAUAUAUUAGUAAAUAGUGAUUAAUGAUUAAAAUCACUUGAUAUAGUUUGAGAGGACAGAUUUGUAUUUAUUACAAUUUUACUUACCUGUCUUGUCUUUGCAGAUGUUUCAAUAAAAGGAAUUCCAUAACUUCUUGCUAA